AUGUAUUUAUUGCAUGGUGAAAGAAUGUAAAUUUCAAAAGAAAUAUAAGAGAAAAAAUUCAGUGAAUGUAAAUAUCAUUGCUACAGACACACUGAUCUGAUAUGUCAAUGAUAUUCUUUUCCAAAAUACAUUAUUGAUUUCAUCAAAUAUUUUUAUAGACUUUAUACAUCAUGGGAAUAUGAAGUACUCAAGACUACCUCAAUGUUUUACUAUCUGCAGUCACCGUCGAUCCAGAAUUGGUGGAAAAAUUUGAGAUGAAUAGAAAAGAAUCAUUCCUCAGCGAUAUAAAAGUCAUUCGCUAGGGUCACAGGGAAACUGGAGAUUGAACCUCAUAACAACACUGAAGAAGAGGUUGUUUUAAACAACUCCAGUAGGUAUAAUCUUCAAAUCUUUAAAACAAUAUUUUUAACAUGUCCCAAGAUGUCUUGAUAACUACCUAUUAAUACAAUGGUCAUUUACGGCAAACAACUCUGAGCUUUGAAAUGAAAUAGUGAAAUCAUAUUUGACAAACACAUAUCACUAUGUACCCAUUCUCCAAAUGAACGGUACCAAAUGACAAUAAUUUAAGACACAAACAACAACAGACAAAAAAUUUGAUCAGAAAAGCUCACUUGCAUCUUUAGAUCAGGUGAGCUAAAAACUACAUGUACAUUCUUAUACACAUGCAUUGAAUUACAAUGUGCAAAAUUCAGUGACAUUUUGUCAAAAGUUUUCUUUGAAUUUUAGUCAAUUUGAUAUGAAAGAGGAGUAUAAUUUGAGAAUUCACUCUAUCAUUUUUUCUCUCCAUCAAAUGGACAUCUGAUCAGUAAAACAUUGUUUUGUGAGGAAUUCAAUUUAAACUCAGUGUGCAAAAAAUGACACAAUAUUGAUUAGCAAUUCCAAAUUUCUACAGAUUUCAAAACACAAGUACUAUUUUUAAAAAACCAACUAACUAGAGCAUCAUCUGUGUGUUUCCCCCCUGAUAUUCACAACAAAAGGUGAUAACAAAAUGGAUUCUACAUAGUCUUGACAUGAUAAUUCUGCUAAUUUUGAUAAUACCCCAUUCUGGUAAAACCCUGAUGCCAAUGUCGUCAUUAUUGAGUGUCGGUACAAUGAACAUGUUUGUGAAGGCCUCCUGCUCUCAGUGGGAACUCUGCCUAACUGUUAAACUUUAUAGACAAUUGACAUUUAAAACACCUGAGUGAAAUUAACAAAUACAGCAGGUGAGAAUUAGAAAUCCUCUGUCAGAUACCAACAGCAAUUUCCAUGGAAACAGUUGUGUAAUAAAUUGAAUAUAAAUUGAAGAUUUGGUAGAAUAGACUUAAACUGAACCCAGCACUCUUCAGGUAUAGUUUCUUUUUAUUUUAUUCUCAAAAUUCUCAUUUCUUUGGGGAAAUCAAUAUCUGCUUGAGAAAAAAUAAUAUCCAUAUAUAUAACAAGUUGGUUUAACAUAUUUUUCCCUUUGCUAUCUUCUGAAAGGUAUAGAUUUCACGACUAUGGAACAUUUCAUAUCAAAAGCACAAAAUUAUGAGGGAGAUGGACAAGGGACAGCAUACCUUGAUUAAAAAUGAUUUCAGUGCAGCAAUAAAAUGGGGCGUGUUGCUAGGAGACACAUCACCGAGGUCAACAUGGCGACACUGAAGCCUUCUGGGAACUGGAGAAACUACCCAACUUGACUCCCGAAUAUUUGCAGUUUUUGGAUCAAAGUCUGGAAGAUGGUCUGACUGUUUCAGCUGCAGCUUCCUAAGUUCUCGAGCUACCAGCAUCUAUGAAAAGAAAAUCCUGUUGUAAAAUCUUAUAUGUCAAUGAUAUAAACCUUUAUACCAUCA